AAUUGUGAACAAAAAAACACUUAAUUGUUUGUUAAUUUUAGGUAUUUGCCGUUCAACUACUACGGGAAAAUGUUUGUAUCCAACCGAAGUACACUAUUUAUUUAUCAAACUGCGGAAUUUGACAGAGGAAAUCAAAACAUAUUAUGCUUUUCACGCAUUACUCAUCAUCAUUGAAUCAGUUUUACUCAUUGCUUCGAACGUAACAAAAUUAGCAUUUAACUACACUAACAAUAUUGACACAGUAUUUGCAUACAACAAAUUGCUUUUAGUUUUUUGUAUUUUGAAGAUGAUAUUUAUAUUUUUCAUAGUUCGAGAAGCACAUAAUACAAUACAAGAAUCAAAAAAACUGUUUUGAUCGCCCAUGAUGUAGUCCGUACUACAACAAACACAUGGAUUGUCAAAGAAUUUGAGGUGUUCAUAUUGAAUUGUUGGAACAAUCCGAUCAUAUUUAAUGUGUAUGAUUUUUUUGAUUUGGACUACAAACUACUUCAAUCAAUAAUUGCAUCCAUCGUCACUUAUAUUGUAGUUUUGGUUCAAAUUCAGUUGGCCAUAUCCAGUCAAUAAUUUG